UGCCACAGGCAUCAAGGGGUCCGAAAGGCUCCUGAGUGCACUUGGCUGGGACUAAGUAAGUCCCGGAGGCUCAAGGAAAGGUAAGGGGUAAAAACCCUUACUAAGUACUUGAGAUCUAGAAAGUAACAGGGGUAUUGAUAAAGCUCGGUACCUCUGUGAAAUCUGGAAGAAUCUGGGAUGAAAGGUCUCAGAGGGUGCAAGGGAGAGGCUGAGUAGGGUCCGUUGAGCCUGUGGCA
rnacentral:ncRNA from 1 species